AACAAUUAUAUCUGGAGAUCCUUUAGAGCUGGAACAAAACUACUUUACUAGACACAACAUGGGAAAAUUUCUUAUGGCUUGACAGAUAUUAAAUUAACAAUAUCUUUUCAGGCAAUUUAUAGAAACAAUUAAAUUUAUGGACUGCAAAAUGCUGGAGCAAAAGUAAACAACAGGGAUGUGCAAUAUGCUAAUAUUCACAAUGUGCCCAAGUUUCAGGCAAAAAUGCCCUCCCAGUCAAAAGUUACAGGAUUAAUCCUCUCCCAGUCGAAACUAAGCAGUUCACCCUUUCAAGAAAAAAAAUGCUAUUGUCUAGAGCUGCACCUGCAUCCUUCUACUGCUGCUGUGCUUAAAAUUCUCAGGUAAAGUCUCUAUUGGAUGCCCAGCAGAUCAAAUGAUUUGAAUCAACAGAAGAAGUGUUUUUUGAAUCAGCAACGAUGGCUUAUGUCUGGAAUAUCAACAGCAAGAUAUUCAGAUUCUCUGCCACCUCCACAAACAAUAAUUGUACUCCCAUCCCUCACAUACGAAUGCCAUCUGAUGGCUCUGAUACCUUAUUGUUAUUAUUAAAUCCAGUAACUUUUAUAUUGUAUAAUGAC